rnacentral:siRNA from 1 species
UGCAACGGGACUUGUUUCAUUGGA